AGACUGCUGGGUUCUCUACAGCACAUAUCAGAUGUGAAAGACAUACACAAAAGCACUUCAGGCUUCUUGGACACAGCAAUUUCAGAGUCACCUGGAGGAGUCUGAAACCAUUCUGUCCACCCUUGGCAAGGAAAGAUUGUGUCCCAGACCUUAAACUAGAAGCUCUUCCUAAGGAACUGCUGGAUUGCUCCUGUAACGACUAUUUUCUCGAUAAUGGGGAGAUUCUCAGUGUGGGAAGGAGAAGCCGAAGAG